AAACCAUGGUGAGGGUAUUUCCUCAAAAGAUCCUUGAAUCUUUCAUGAGCUUCAAAGAGUAUCUUUGAAUCACCUUGCCUGAAGGCAUAAAUUUCUUGUCUCAGCCU